GACGAACGCUGGCGGCGUGCCUAAUACAUGCAAGUCGAGCGAACAGACGAGGAGCUUGCUCCGCGGACGUUAGCGGCGGACGGGUGAGUAACACGUGGAUAACCUACCUAUAAUACUGGGAUAACUACGGGAAACCGGAGCUAAUACCGGAUAAUAUAUUGAACCGCAUGGUUCAAUAGUGAGAGACGGUGUUGCUGGCACUUAUAGAUGCAUCCGCGCCGUAUUAGCUGGUUGGUAAGGUAACGGCCUACCAGGGCGACGAUGCGUAGCCGACCUGAGAGGGUGAUCGGCGACACUGGAACUGAGCCGCGGUCCAGACUCCUACGGGAGGCCGCAGUCGGGUAUCUUCCGCAAUGGGCGAAAGCCUGACGGAGCAACGCCGCGUGAGUUGUGACGGUCUUCGGAUCGUGAAGCUCUGUUAUUAGGGGAGAACAAAUGUGUAAGUAACUGUGCACGUCUUGACGGUACCUGGUCAAAAAGCCACGGCUAACUACGUG
rnacentral:rRNA from 1 species